rnacentral:lncRNA from 1 species
GUUUAUAGAUUCUACCAAAUGCUAAAGAAGAUAUAAAAUAUUCUCCAGUCACACAUCUAGCAAAUAGAUUCAUGGAUUCUACAUUAAAUAAAAAUAAAUUAUUUUUCAUCAACAUCUUAUAAUACAUUCAUCGGAUCCAAUACAAGAGAAGGAUUGAGUCACUAAACUUUCCUAAUGACUUCUACCAAGACAAGCUUAGAUAUAAGCCAACUUAAAAGGACUUAAACUAGGACAGAGUUGGUUACUACCAUAGUUGAAGAGUCCGUGGGAAGAAUUAAUUUCAGAUUCUUGUUUGUCGCCCAGGCUGG